GACGAACGCUGGCGGCGUGCUUAACACAUGCAAGUCGAACGGAAAGGCCCUGCUUUUGUGGGUUGCUCGAGUGGCGAACGCGUGAGUAACACGUGAGUAUCCUGCCCUUGUCUUUGUGAUAACUUCAGGAGACUGCGGCUAUUACCCCGGAUAAUCUCCUGCUCCGUGUUGUUGGUUGGUAAGUUUCGGCGUUUGUGGAUGGACUCGCUGCUUAUGAGCUUGUUUGGGGGGUUGGUGCUUUCAAAGCUUUUGACGGGUAGGCGGCCUGAGAGGGUUAACGGGCACAAUGCGACUGAGAGACGGCCCAGAAGGCUAUGGGAGGCAGCAGUGGGGAAUAUUGCACAAUGGGCGGAAGCCUGAUGCAGAAACGCCGCGUGCGGGAUACCGGCCUUUGGGUUGUAAACCGAUUUCGCCUGUGACGAAGAGUUAGUGACGGUAAUGGGUCAAGAAGCACCGGCUAACUACGUG
rnacentral:rRNA from 1 species